rfam:Gossypium raimondii chromosome 3, whole genome shotgun sequence.
AUCCCAUGAUGAGGACACUUAAGAAGUAAUUCUUUGAAUCUCUCUCAUGCCUCGUACAAUGAAUCAUCAUCCAAUUGCUGAAAAGUGGUGAUCUUAUUUCGCAACUU